GCCGAAGUGGCGGAACUGGUAGACGCGCCGGACUCAAAAUCCGGUUCCCCUUGGGGAGUGUGGGUUCGAUUCCCACCUUCGGCA
rnacentral:tRNA from 1 species